rnacentral:lncRNA from 1 species
AAUUAAAAACCAAUUGUUCAGAGAACCAUUGAUGGUCUUUCCACCAGUAAGGAUCUUUUUUUACAUGAAAAUAUUAAAAAUUUGGGUUUUAAAUGGCAAUUGAACCGUCAAAUGACAGCUUAUUGAACGUUGAUUCCAAAAAUGUAUGGUUUCCAUGGAAAAAGAUAUAGAUAAGGGAGAUACUUGUUUACUUCCGGUUCAAACGAUGUAAUUUCCGGUAUAGUUUGAUAGUUUAAUUGACACUGAUUCCAAAAAUAUAUGGUUCUAUACACUUUUACAUUUAUUUAGAACAAAAAAUAGCUACUUCCGGUAAACAAAAGGUCACUUCCGGUUGGCUUUUACUUGGUCACAUUGCUUGCAACCUAUUGCAAAAAGUCCCAUGUCUUUAUCAUGUAUACAUAUAAGGUAAAAGCAAAGGUCAAAAUCUAGAACGUUAAUUUUGCCAAUGACCUUGAGCUCAAUUUCAAGGUCAUCAACCAAG